rnacentral:rRNA from 1 species
UUAAGCGACCAAGCGUACACGGUGGAUGCCCUGGCAGUCAGAGGCGAUGAAGGGCGUGCUAAUCUGCGAUAAGCGCCGGUAAGGUGAUAUGAACCGUUAUAACCGGCGAUACCCGAAUGGGGAAACCCAGUGUGUUUCGACACACUAUCAUUAACUGAAUCCAUAGGUUAAUGAGGCGAACCGGGGGAACUGAAACAUCUAAGUACCCCGAGGAAAAGAAAUCAACCGAGAUUCCCCCCAGUAGCGGCGAGCGAACGGGGAGGAGCCCAGAGCCUGAAUCAGCAUGUGUGUUAGUGGAAGCGUCUGGAAAGGCGCGCGAUACAGGGUGACAGCCCCGUACACAAAAGCGCACGUACUGUGAGCUCGAUGAGUAGGGCGGGACACGUGGUAUCCUGUCUGAAUAUGGGGGGGACCAUCCUCCAAGGCUAAAUACUCCUGACUGACCGAUAGUGAACCAGUACCGUGAGGGAAAGGCGAAAAGAACCCCGGCGAGGGGAGUGAAACAGAACCUGAAACCGUGUACGUACAAGCAGUGGGAGCACAGGUUUACCUGUGUGACUGCGUACCUUUUGUAUAAUGGGUCAGCGACUUAUAUUCUGUAGCAAGGUUAACCGCAUAGGGGAGCCGGAGGGAAACCGAGUCUUAAUUGGGCGUUAAGUUGCAGGGUAUAGACCCGAAACCCGGUGAUCUAGCCAUGGGCAGGUUGAAGGUUGGGUAACACUAACUGGAGGACCGAACCGACUAAUGUUGAAAAAUUAGCGGAUGACCUGUGGCUGGGGGUGAAAGGCCAAUCAAACCGGGAGAUAGCUGGUUCUCCCCGAAAGCUAUUUAGGUAGCGCCUCGUGAAUUCAUCUCCGGGGGUAGAGCACUGUUUCGGCUAGGGGGCCAUCCCGGCUUACCAACCCGAUGCAAACUGCGAAUACCGGAGAAUGUUAUCACGGGAGACACACGGCGGGUGCUAACGUCCGUCGUGAAGAGGGAAACAACCCAGACCGCCAGCUAAGGUCCCAAAGUCAUGGUUAAGUGGGAAACGAUGUGGGGAAGGCCCAGACAGCCAGGAUGUUGGCUUAGAAGCAGCCAUCAUUUAAAGAAAGCGUAAUAGCUCACUGGUCGAGUCGGCCUGCGCGGAAGAUGUAACGGGGCUAAACCAUGCACCGAAGCUGCGGCAGCGACACUUAAGUGUUGUUGGGUAGGGGAGCGUUCUGUAAGCCUGUGAAGGUGGCCUGUGAGGGUUGCUGGAGGUAUCAGAAGUGCGAAUGCUGACAUAAGUAACGAUAAAGCGGGUGAAAAGCCCGCUCGCCGGAAGACCAAGGGUUCCUGUCCAACGUUAAUCGGGGCAGGGUGAGUCGACCCCUAAGGCGAGGCCGAAAGGCGUAGUCGAUGGGAAACGGGUUAAUAUUCCCGUACUUGGUGUUACUGCGAAGGGGGGACGGAGAAGGCUAUGUUGGCCGGGCGACGGUUGUCCCGGUUUAAGCGUGUAGGCUGGUUUUCCAGGCAAAUCCGGAAAAUCAAGGCUGAGGCGUGACGACGAGGCACCACGGUGCUGAAGCAACAAAUGCCCUGCUUCCAGGAAAAGCCUCUAAGCAUCAGGUAACACGAAAUCGUACCCCAAACCGACACAGGUGGUCAGGUAGAGAAUACCAAGGCGCUUGAGAGAACUCGGGUGAAGGAACUAGGCAAAAUGGUGCCGUAACUUCGGGAGAAGGCACGCUGACACGUAGGUGAAGUGAUUUACUCAUGGAGCUGAAGUCAGUCGAAGAUACCAGCUGGCUGCAACUGUUUAUUAAAAACACAGCACUGUGCAAACACGAAAGUGGACGUAUACGGUGUGACGCCUGCCCGGUGCCGGAAGGUUAAUUGAUGGGGUUAUCCUCGCGGAGAAGCUCCUGAUCGAAGCCCCGGUAAACGGCGGCCGUAACUAUAACGGUCCUAAGGUAGCGAAAUUCCUUGUCGGGUAAGUUCCGACCUGCACGAAUGGCGUAAUGAUGGCCAGGCUGUCUCCACCCGAGACUCAGUGAAAUUGAACUCGCUGUGAAGAUGCAGUGUACCCGCGGCAAGACGGAAAGACCCCGUGAACCUUUACUAUAGCUUGACACUGAACAUUGAGCCUUGAUGUGUAGGAUAGGUGGGAGGCUUUGAAGCGUGGACGCCAGUCUGCGUGGAGCCAACCUUGAAAUACCACCCUUUAAUGUUUGAUGUUCUAACGUGGACCCGUUACCCGGGUUGCGGACAGUGUCUGGUGGGUAGUUUGACUGGGGCGGUCUCCUCCCAAAGAGUAACGGAGGAGCACGAAGGUUGGCUAAUCCUGGUCGGACAUCAGGAGGUUAGUGCAAUGGCAUAAGCCAGCUUGACUGCGAGCGUGACGGCGCGAGCAGGUGCGAAAGCAGGUCAUAGUGAUCCGGUGGUUCUGAAUGGAAGGGCCAUCGCUCAACGGAUAAAAGGUACUCCGGGGAUAACAGGCUGAUACCGCCCAAGAGUUCAUAUCGACGGCGGUGUUUGGCACCUCGAUGUCGGCUCAUCACAUCCUGGGGCUGAAGUAGGUCCCAAGGGUAUGGCUGUUCGCCAUUUAAAGUGGUACGCGAGCUGGGUUUAGAACGUCGUGAGACAGUUCGGUCCCUAUCUGCCGUGGGCGCUGGAGAACUGAGGGGGGCUGCUCCUAGUACGAGAGGACCGGAGUGGACGCAUCACUGGUGUUCGGGUUGUCAUGCCAAUGGCACUGCCCGGUAGCUAAAUGCGGAAGAGAUAAGUGCUGAAAGCAUCUAAGCACGAAACUUGCCCCGAGAUGAGUUCUCCCUGAGACCUUGAGUCUCCUGAAGGAACGUUGAAGACGACGACGUUGAUAGGCCGGGUGUGUAAGCGCAGCGAUGCGUUGAGCUAACCGGUACUAAUGAACCGUGAGGCUUAACCUU